rnacentral:rRNA from 1 species
ACUACGGGGGGCAGCAGUGAGGAAUAUUGGUCAAUGGGCGGGAGCCUGAACCAGCCAAGUCGCGUGAGGGAAGACGGUCCUAUGGAUUGUAAACCUCUUUAGGCGGGGAGCAAUGCCGGGCACGCGUGCCCGGAGGGAGAGUACCCGCAGAAUAAGCAUCGGCUAACUCCGUGCCAGCAGCCGCGGUAAUACGGAGGAUGCGAGCGUUAUCCGGAGUUAUUGGGUUUAAAGGGUGCGUAGGCGGAUUUUUAAGUCAGCGGUAAAAUGUUCGGGCUCAACCCGGGCCGGCCGUUGAAACUGGGGAUCUUGAGUGGGCGAGAAGUAUGCGGAAUGCGUGGUGUAGCGGUGAAAUGCAUAGAUAUCACGCAGAACUCCGAUUGCGAAGGCAGCAUACCGGCGCCCGACUGACGCUGAGGCACGAAAGCGUGGGGAUCGAACAGGAUUAGAUACCCCUGUAGUC